UACGUAGGGGCCGAGCGUUGUCCGGAGUUAUUGGGCGUAAAGCGCGCGCAGGCGGUCAUUUAAGUCUGGUGUUUAAUCCUGGGGCUCAACCCCCGGGGUCGCACUGGAAACUGGGUGGCUUGAGUACAGAAGAGGAGAGUGGAAUUCCACGUGUAGCGGUGAAAUGCGUAGAUAUGUGGAGGAACACCAGUGGCGAAGGCGACUCUCUGGGCUGUAACUGACGCUGAGGCGCGAAAGCGUGGGGAGCAAACAGG
rnacentral:rRNA from 1 species